UUGAAUAACAAGAGAUUGUGAGUAAUUUUAUUGAAAUCUCAAUUUCAAUAACAUUGGAUUUGAGAAGAGAUUUGAAAAUCACAAAUUCAAUAACAGAUGAUUUUAGUAAAAACCCAAAAUUUUCUAAAAUCCUAAUUCCAAUACACCCCCUGAAGACUCCCAGAGCCAAAAGCCCAAACGAGGGAAGCUUACAAACUCAAUACAAAUUUUACACAAAGACCAAAACCAACAAUGCAAAGCUAACAAAGAUAAAUCUCUAAAACCAAAUGUAGCCGGAUGAGAAGCUUGAAAAGGUCUCCAAGACCAGGAAGACGACGAUGCAGGAGAUCUUCGUCCGAAGAUGAAGAAGACUCAGAGAAAAGGCAUGAAACAAACUCUCGCGGAAGCGAAAGGAUAGUGCUGCAGCCAAACAGAUUAGCAAGGGAUAUGUAGAACCGAGAUGAAGAAGAGCACCAGCAAAAGAAUGAAAAGACACCCCUUUCUCAACUGCUACAUGUCCAAAUGAAACUCAACCCAGUACCUCUAGAAACGCUUCACCACAGGAAGAGAAGAGGAAACAGCUGCUGAAAUGCUCCAAUAGAACUUAUUUAAAUAAACGAUGAGGAAGGAAGCUUCAUCUGCUGGCCGAGGUUAAUGACUUCUUCAACUAAAAGGUGAUAACCUUACCUGUUCUCCCACAAGAAGUCAUCAGGGCUGACCAAAAGGCUAGAAAAAAUUCAAACGCAGCUAAGCAGAAAUAACUUGGAUUCACAGAGAAUCGAAACGGUUGACAAAGGAGACCAAUCGAAUCAACUCAAUCUGAAGCAAAGAGUUGAAAUCAAAGACAGGUCCAUAUCUAGAUCUGAAAUCGAGAUCAAUCUUUGUGGCCAACGAAACCAAACAACAACAACUACAACAAACAACCGAUAAACUAAGCCAGACAAGACCCAGAGGCAAAAAGGAGAGUGGACGAGAGUACCGCACGAGGAAGCGACAAAGCCAAAACCUCCAUCGAUUACCAAGGAUCACACCAACAAAAAGCUACAACCUCGAAUCCAGAUUGGUGUGACUGGAAAAACGACCAACAAAGCUUGGCAAAGACCAGAACAGCCGACAAAGAGACUCGCCGGAGCCAGAUCUGAGCCACUCCUCGGCCACGAAACCCUAACACCACCGAACCCUUUAACUCGCCCCCAAAAUCUCAUCAGCUACUAUACAACUUUACAAACUAAAGGAAACACUACAGAUUCCCUCUCACGGCGCCGUGGUAGCCACCGGAGAGGAAAGCAUAAACGGCGCCUUCGAAGCUCUGUCGCUUUUUUUUUCUCUCUUUUUUUUUUUUUUGUUUUUUUUUCUACUUGCGCCUUUGGAUUAUCUUGUGGCCACUGAUUUCAGUCACUAGUAUUUUAUUUAUUUUGUUUUUAAAGUAAAUAUUUAAAAU
rnacentral:lncRNA from 1 species